ACGCUUCUUUCCUCCCGAGUGCUUGCACUCAAUUGGAAAGAGGAGUGGCGGACGGGUGAGUAACACGUGGGUAACCUACCCAUCAGAGGGGGAUAACACUUGGAAACAGGUGCUAAUACCGCAUAACAGUUUAUGCCGCAUGGCAUAAGAGUGAAAGGCGCUUUCGGGUGUCGCUGAUGGAUGGACCCGCGGUGCAUUAGCUAGUUGGUGAGGUAACGGCUCACCAAGGCCACGAUGCAUAGCCGACCUGAGAGGGUGAUCGGCCACACUGGGACUGAGACACGGCCCAGACUCCUACGGGAGGCAGCAGUAGGGAAUCUUCGGCAAUGGACGAAAGUCUGACCGAGCAACGCCGCGUGAGUGAAGAAGGUUUUCGGAUCGUAAAACUCUGUUGUUAGAGAAGAACAAGGACGUUAGUAACUGAACGUCCCCUGACGGUAUCUAACCAGAAAGCCACGGCUAACUACGUGCCAGCAGCCACGGUAAUACGUAGGUGGCAAGCGUUGUCCGGAUUUAUUGGGCGUAAAGCGAGCGCAGGCGGUUUCUUAAGUCUGAUGUGAAAGCCCCCGGCUCAACCGGGGAGGGUCAUUGGAAACUGGGAGACUUGAGUGCAGAAGAGGAGAGUGGAAUUCCAUGUGUAGCGGUGAAAUGCGUAGAUAUAUGGAGGAACACCAGUGGCGAAGGCGGC
rnacentral:rRNA from 1 species